rnacentral:rRNA from 1 species
CGUGCCAGCAGCCGCGGUAAUACGAAGGGGGCUAGCGUUGUUCGGAUUUACUGGGCGUAAAGGGUGCGUAGGCGGAUUGUUAAGUCAGGGGUGAAAUCCCGAGGCUCAACCUCGGAACUGCCUUUGAUACUGGCGAUCUUGAGUCUGGGAGAGGUGAGUGGAACUGCGAGUGUAGAGGUGAAAUUCGUAGAUAUUCGCAAGAACACCGGUGGCGAAGGCGGCUCACUGGCCCGGUACUGACGCUGAGGCACGAAAGCGUGGGGAGCAAACGGGAUUAGAUACCCUGGUAGUCCACGCCGUAAACGAUGA